rnacentral:rRNA from 1 species
AUUGAACGCUGGCGGCGUGCUUUACACAUGCAAGUCGAACGGCAGCACGGGUGCUUGCACCUGGUGGCGAGUGGCGAACGAGUGAGUAAUAUAUCGGAACGUGUCCGGAAGUGGGGGAUAACGCAGCGAAAGCUGCGCUGAUACCGCAUACGAUCUGAGGAUGAAAGCGGGGGACCGUAAGGCCUCGCGCGAUCGGAGCGGCCGAUGUCAGAUUAGGUAGUUGGUGGGGUAAAGGCUCACCAAGCCAACGAUCUGUAGCUGGUCUGAGAGGACGACCAGCCACACUGGGACUGAGACACGGCCCAGACUCCUACGGGAGGCAGCAGUGGGGAAUUUUGGACAAUGGGCGCAAGCCUGAUUCAGCAAUGCCGCGUGCAGGAAGAAGGCCUUCGGGUUGUAAACUGCCUUUGUACGGAGCGAAAAGGCUCUCUCUAAUACAGGGGGCUCAUGACGGUACCGUAAGAAUAAGCACCGGCUAACUACGUGCCAGCAGCCGCCGUAACAC